GGGGUCGUAGCCUAGCCUGGUAGGGCGACGGGCUCCAGGUUUGGAGCUGCGAAGUAACCCGUAGGUCGUCGGUUCAAUUCCGAUCGGCCCCA
rnacentral:tRNA from 1 species